rnacentral:rRNA from 1 species
GAUCGCUGGAAACUAGCUUGCUAGGUGGAAGGAGAGGCGAACGGGUGAGUAAGUACAUAAGCAACCUGCCCACGAAGACUGGGAUAAUCCUUGGAAACGAGGACUAAUACCGGAUAGGUUACGAAUUCGCAUGAAUUUGUAAUUAAAGGUUAGAAACACUGGUGGAUGGGCUUAUGGUGCAUUAGCUAGUUGGUGAGGUAACGGCCCACCAAGGCGAUGAUGCAUAGCCGGGCUGAGAGGCUGAACGGCCACAUUGGGACUGAGACACGGCCCAGACUCCUACGGGAGGCAGCAGUAGGGAAUUUUCGGCAAUGGGGGAAACCCUGACCGAGCAACGCCGCGUGAGUGAUGAAGGUCUUCGGAUUGUAAAGCUCUGUUGUAAGGGAAGAAUGAAUUGGAUAGAAUCCGAUUGUGACGGUACCUUACCAGAAAGCUACGGCUAACUACGUGCCAGCAGCCGCGGUAAUACGUAGGUAGCGAGCGUUAUCCGGAAUUAUUGGGCGUAAAGGGUGCGUAGGCGGCUUGUUAAGUUUAAGGUGAAAGAAUGGGGCUCAACCCCAUAAAGCCUUAGAUACUGGCAAGCUAGAGUACUGGAGAGGGUAGUGGAAUUCCAUGUGUAGCGGGUAAAAAAUGCGUAGAUAUAUGGAGGAACACCGGAGGCGAAGGCGGCUACCUAGACAGAGACUGACGCUGAGGCACGAAAGCGUGGGGAGCAAAUAGGAUUAGAUACCCUAGUAGUCUACGCCGUAAACGAUGAAUGCUUAGAUAUCGGGGCAACUCGGUGUCGAAACUAACGCGAUAAGCAUUCCGCCUGUGGAGUAUGCACGCAAGUGUGAAACAUAAAGGAAUUGACGGGGGCCCGCACAAGCCGGUGGAGUAUGUGGUUUAUGUUCGACGCAACGCGAAGAUCCUAUACCAGGCCCUGACAUCCCGGUCCAAGACUCUAGAGAUAGAGCACGAGGUAUCGAGGACCGCCCAAAAGGGGGCCCCCCUUGAACCAAUUCCCCCCUUUUGGCCCAAAAAAACUUUCCUAAGAGAUAGAGCAAGAGGUAUCGAGGUGACAGUUGGUGCAUGGUUGUCGUCAGCUCGUGUCGUGAGAUGUUGGGUUAAGUCCCGCAACGAGCGCAACCCUUGUCUUCAGUUACCAUCAUUAAGUUGGGGACUCUGGAGAGACUGCCGGUGAUAAACCGGAGGAAGGUGGGGAUGACGUCAAAUCAUCAUGCCCCUUAUGGCCUGGGCUACACACGUACUACAAUGGCUGUUACAACGUGAAGCAACACUGUGAAGUGAAGCGAAUCACUAAAAGGCAGUCUCAGUUCGGAUUGAAGUCUGCAACUCGACUUCAUGAAGUUGGAAUCGCUAAUAAUCGCGGAUCAGCAUGCCGCGGUGAAUACGUUCUCGGGCCUUGUACACACCGCCCGUCAUACCAUGAGAGCUGGCAAUACCCGAAGCCGGUGGCCUAACCGCAAGGAAGGAGCCGUCGAAGUAGGGCUA